CAGGUGCUAGGCUUGUUGUGGAUAAGGGGUAUAAAGGCAGUGCAGGGUACCCUGAAGCCCUUCCUUAGGGCAGGAAUAGUACUAAGAAGGGGAUUCUCUGCAAGUUUUAGGCUCUGAUGCAGUUAAGUGGGCAGCACUGGGGAUGUUUCCAGAAGUUGCUGCACCCUCAGUGAAUCUGUGGGGUUUAGGAGGUGCUGUGGUGGUCCUGCAUGGCCUUUUUGCUCUCACGAGCCAGGAAAUAGCUGUGCCCUAUCCCCUCUGCUCUGGACUUCUUGGGAGCUUUACAAGGCUGGGAACAGACUGACUCGGUCCUUGCCAAACAGCCGCACCCACGGCAAUCACAUCCUGGAACGGCAACGGCUUCUGCAGGGAAGAUGUGUCUGAAAGCAACUAAUGAACUCAGGGGCACAAAUGCUAAUGAAAGUUAACGAGAUCCACGCUCCUUCAUGUGUAGGAUUUUUAAAAAAAAAUCGUGCUCUUUAAGAUGAAUGCUGGUUUCAUGCUCUCUGCGGGUCACCCCGAGGCCCACAUCCAGGUGGCUGCUCCCUGCCCUUGGGUUUUGCCCAAGAAGUGUGACAACAUCCCCAAGAUGCCCUGCCUGCUGUGUUAUUUAAGCUGUACGAUAUGACAGAGCAUGUUUUAUGGAGCCAUUAAUUUAUGCUGUGGGUGACUUUAACCACCCAAAAGUAUAUUAAUGGCCCUAUGAAAUACACCCCGGAGUGUCUUAAUAUGGUUAUGAGAUUGAUCUUCAGCUUUAUAUGCUGCUGUGUGUGAAAUUAUUGAAAUAAAUUUGUAGAGAAAGGUGAUGUGGUGGAUCCCAGCAAGGGGUGAGCUGCCUUUUUCUUAGGAUCCUGCGGUCGCAGAGUUGCUCGGUGUCCUGUAGUACAUGCCAUGGGCUGGAGCAGCAUCCCUGCCAGUGGGAUGCUGGUGAAGUCCUGUUCAAGGCGUUGCCUUUCGGGAUGGAGUGGCAGUACCAGCUUGUAGAGAAACCUGGACUCCAUGCAGAAAACUUCUCUCUGGCAGGAGUGUGCUGGGAUUGCUGUGAACAGCAAUUCCUGUUUGGGAAAUACAGCAAACCAUGACUUUCCUACUGAUAGAUGCUAGCAGCAUGAGUGUACCGACAGGAAGCCUUGAUGUCAGGAAGGCUAGACCUUGUUUAAAGUCUCUUUUUGUCUAUAUGCUCAGGGUUUUUGAAGCCUCCAGGCCUAUGAUGUCAAAGUGGGUUUGGGUUUUAGCUGGAAAUUAAAAAUGAAUUCUGCUGUAUUAAGUAAUCUGUGCCUUUUUUUUUUUAUAUAGCCUUAAUCAUUAUGAUCUUUUUCAAUGCUCUCUGGUGGGACUGUAUGGCUCUGAACUCUGAUAAACCCAGAAAGUUCUCAGUAACUGAAUGUAAUGUUUCAUCCCAAAACAAGUAAAAACCAUGGUUUUUCUCAUCAAAA